rnacentral:rRNA from 1 species
UAAGCAAGAUAUGAAAGCGUACGGCUCAACCGUAUAUCCGUAUUUCGAACUGAUUAACUAGAGGGCGAGAGAGGUUAUUGGAAUUUCUUGUGUAGGAGUGAAAUCCGUAGAUAUAAGAAGGAACACCGAUGGCGUAGGCAGAUAACUGGCUCGCACCUGACACUGAGGCACGAAAGCGUGGGGGCAAACAGGAUUAGAUACCCUGGUAGUCCACGCCCUAAACGAUGAGAACUA